GUCAACUCACAUAUUCGUCUUAACUUUGGUAUCACACCAAGGUCAAGUCCAUGAUGUAUAUUUCCAACACUUAUUAAUUGAUAUGAAAACUUAUAAUUAAUGCACGGAUAAUGUAUACGUAUAAAUUAAAUAGAAGUCGUGAUUCAUCAUGGAUUAGAUGAUGGUUACGAAAUUUAUUAUUGGUCCGUUUGUUAGCGGGAAAAUUUACUAUUGGCCCGUCUACUAGCGGGAUGUGGAAUGAAGAUGAUGAUCAGUACGUAGUAAUUAUGCUUUAACAACUCUUGACAAUACCGCUACAUGAAUGAAUCUGCCUAAUCAAGAAUUAAUUCAAUACGCUGAAACAAAAUCUGUAUAACAAACUGAUUUGGGGUACAAAGAACCGAAAAAAUCAGUAUGGCAGAAUCGUCUCGAAACAGUGAAGCCCAUCAAAUUCCACACCAAAUCUCGGCACCUUCCGCUGCCGGCGUCCCCUCAUCAUCUCUUCCGAUUCAAUACCUUGCUGCUGCUUCUUCUGCGGCGGCGGCGGCGACUGGCCGUCGUNNNCGUGUCCCGCGCGUCCCUCCCCCCCGCCUCUGGCAGUGAUUUCUUACUCCCGCUGGAAUGGCUGGAAGGCAUGUUAUUGGUCUUCUGCCCGAAGAACUCUCUCGACAGAACAUCGAACGAGCUGAACAUCGACAUCAUCAUCUUUAAUCACUCUGGAUGAAUUGAUCUCUGAAUAUGAAUAUAUUAUGAUUAAGUUUGAUGAUUCUCGUUCUGCGUCGGAAGGGUAUAUAUACAGUUGGGAGGAUUUCCUGGAAGCGGCUGGAAACUUCGUUGACUUCCUGGUCAGAGUCGGAAACGCGGACGCGGCGUUUUGGACUCUUCGUUUGUCCGGAUGGGUUUAAG
rnacentral:lncRNA from 1 species